rnacentral:rRNA from 1 species
GACGAACGCUGGCGGCGUGCUUAACACAUGCAAGUCGAACGAAGUGGCGGACGGGUGAGUAACGCGUGAGCAACCUGCCCUUCGGAGGGGGAUAGCGUCUGGAAACGGACGGUAAUACCGCAUACCGAAGGAUGGGCUCGCGUUGGAUUAGAUAGUUGGUGGGGUAACGGCCUACCAAGUCGACGAUCCAUAGCCGGACUGAGAGGUUGAACGGCCACAUUGGGACUGAGACACGGCCCAGACUCCUACGGGAGGCAGCAGUGGGGAAUAUUGCACAAUGGGGGAAACCCUGAUGCAGCAACGCCGCGUGAAGGAAGACGGUUUCGGAUUGUAAACUUCUGUUCUUAGUGAAGCGGUAGCUAAGGAGCAAGCCACGGCUAACUACGUGCCAGCAGCCGCGGUAAUACGUAGGUGGCAAGCGUUGUCCGGAAUUACUGGGUGUAAAGGGAGCGCAGGCGGGAAGCCAAGUCAGCUGUGAAAACUACAGGCUUAACUUGUAGACUGCAGUUGAAACUGGUUUUCUUGAGUGAAGUAGAGGUUGGCGGAAUUCCGAGUGUAGCGGUGAAAUGCGUAGAUAUUCGGAGGAACACCGGUGGCGAAGGCGGCCAACUGGGCUUUAACUGACGCUGAGGCUCGAAAGUGUGGGGAGCAAACAGGAUUAGAUACCCUGGUAGUCCACACUGUAAACGAUGAUUGCUAGGUGUGGGGCCGUGCCGCAGCUAACGCAAUAAGCAAUCCACCUGGGGAGUACGACCGCAAGGUUGCAACUCAAAGGAAUUGA